rnacentral:lncRNA from 1 species
UGAUAAUGUAUUUUUUUUGAAUUUCAGCAAAAGGACUUCAGCAAACAGUAUUCAUACAUAGCUUGUAGCCAGGAUAAUAUUUAAAAGAUAGAUCUUUAUGCUUCAACUCAGCGUGCUGGUCUUUUAAAUCUGAGUACAUUCAUACAAUAUAAACAUAUAACAUAAAUAUUAUUUUCAACCUGCAUAUGUAUGUGAUAGUUGCCGCAG